CGGAGGUGCGAGCGUUGUCCGGAAUCACUGGGCGUAAAGGGCGCGUAGGCGGUGGCUUAAGCGUGUGGUGAAAGUCCGGGGCUCAAACCCCGGAUCGGCCGUGCGAACUGGGUCGACUCGAGCACUGUAGAGGCAGGUGGAAUUCCGGGUGGUAGCGGUGGAAUGCGUAGAGAUCCGGAAGAACACCAGGGGCGGAAGGCGGCCUGCUGGGCAGUGGCUGACGCUGAGGCGCGACAGCGUGGGGAGCAAACAGGAUU
rnacentral:rRNA from 1 species